rnacentral:snRNA from 1 species
GUACUUGGCAGCAUAUAUACUAAAACUGGAAUGACAGAGAAGGCUAGCACGGCUUCUGUUUAAAGAUGACACAUAAAUUUGUGAAGAAUUCCAUAUUUAU